CCUCUAUUAAUCACGGGGCUUCGGGCAUUUUCUCCCCUCGUAGAUUGCAGAAGCUUUUCUCUCUCUUUUUUUUGGCCUACCUAGUAUUUUGGGUCAAGAAAUUCCCCGGGGGUGGGGGAAUUCGAGGCGAGGGUUUGCAAAAAUCAGGGGGAAUUUGGGGGUCCUUUCCGCGGUGAUCGAUAGUUUUACGCUUUAUUCGCGACAAUUUUUAGGGUUUAUCUUGGGGUUUUCGUUUCCCCGUCGUAUUUCGUAGAGGAAAUUCGUCCCUGUGGAAAUUUCGUUUUUUUAUUGGGGUUUUCUUCCAUGCUACUGUGAAAUUCGGAAUCUUGUCAGAGAAAGGAAGAAGGAAAAGCGAAGACAAGAAAACGAGGGGGAAUUUGUACCUCGAGCGUGUUCUUCUGGUGCUCACUUGCGAGUCGGCGAAUCUUGCGGGUGCUUGGCCGCGGCGGGAUCGAAAGGAGGAGCCUUUUCUUGGCUGCUCUGCUCGUGCUGUGCGCUUGCGAGGGGGAGCCAUGUCGUCGGCGGCCGCGGCGGGCGAAGCGGCGUACAGCGGUGGUGCGCAGAAGGGGGCGCUGCAGCAGCGCCAGCCGCAGCAGCCCGGCCCCGGCGCGCUCCUCUACGCCCACAAUGGCGCCGCCGUCUACAGGAAACCCGCCAUUCCGCCGUUCUACCAGCAGCCCGCAGCCAGCAAUGCCGCCGCGCAGGUGGCGCCCACCCAUUCCCCCGGCAGCGCCGAGCCUCUCAAGCUCAAGCGCGGGCGCCCGCGCAAGUAUGGACCCGCGGACGGCCCGGACGGCCCCCCGCCGCUGGCUGUCGUGUCCCCGUCGCAGAAAGCUCCUGCCCCAGCUGAUGUUGGCACUGACUCUGGCGCGUCACCCAUGCUUCCUCCCGGCUUCUCCCCGAGCCAGCAGGGUGGGGGUGUGGUGAGUCCCCAAGCAUCUCCGGCGGCGGCGCCGCCGCUUACUGCGUCAAAUGCUUCAUCUGCCAAGAAGAAGGGCCGGCCGCUGGGCUCCACUAGCAAGAAGCCGCAGCCGCAGGCGGCAGCGCCAGGACCAGGCUGGGCCGGAUGGAAACCUCAUGUUUUCACAGUCCAAGCUGGAGAGGUACACUGUCCAGUACUUUUGAUGCUCAUAUAGAUGCCCUGAUGCACUCUUAGGAUGAUGUCAUCUAUUCAUAUCAGGAUAUGCGUGGGAUAUGUUUACUUGCAUCAUUUGUUUAUCAUAUUUCAAGUGUUAUUGUCUGUUUUAUAGCUAGGCGAAGUAUUAAUCUGCUUAUGAAAUCAAGCCUUUAUUGAACAAAGUUGCCCUUGUUGUAUCUUCCUCAAUGGCUAUUAUGGUACCAUAACUUGCAUUUAUUUUUUUACGUUCAGUUACCUAGUGCAAUUAUAUGACUGUCUUGCUCUCUGUAGAAAAGAUUUACUCCUGCCUCCAGAAAUGUUUGUUACGCUUGCACAUGCUGCUCUGUUACCACCUACGCCAUAUGUCAUGUGACAUAGCAGGAUAUAGUGUCAAGAGCCAUGUCAUUUUCUGGGAAUGGAUGGACAGUUUGUAUCCUCACAGCCAAUGGCGCUGUAUUCAAUGUGACCCUGCGUCAAGGAGAUUCUUCUGGCGGAACAGUAACUUAUGAGGGCAGUUUUGAGAUUCUCUCUUUGGCUGGCUCAUAUCUUCUGUCAGAAAGUGGUGGGAUGAGCAGUCGAACUGGUGGACUUAGUGUCUCACUUUCUGGUCCUGAUGGGCGUGUUUUAGGUGGUGCCGUAGCAGGACCUCUAACUGCAGCUUCGCCAGUUCAGGUGGUCAUUGGGAGCUUUCUAGCUGAUUGGAAAUCGGAGCUUGAUCCUGGAUCAGCACCUGACAGAACUGUUUUCGGUGGGUUUCCUACUGCCAGCAGUCCAUCGUCAAGGGGCACUGAAUCCUCUGGUGGGCAUGGAAGCCCGCCGAAUCCUGCUGCCUCGUUCAAUACGGGCAGCCAACCAAGCUUUCCUAACUACCCUACAUGGAAAUGAGCUUACCUGAAUCCUACUGUCCGCCUGCCCCAGCUGUGGGGACUAGACUUAAAUUGCUGUUUUAGGUACUCCUGAAGGAACUUGGUGGUUUUCAGGCUGAAAUGUAGAUUGUUGUCUUGUAAUGUUC